CGGGUGAGUAACACGUGAGCAACCUGGCUCUAAGAGGGGGACAACAGUUGGAAACGACUGCUAAUACCGCAUAAGCGCACAGCUUCGCAUGAAGCAGUGUGAAAAACUCCGGUGGUACAAGAUGGACCCGCGUCUGAUUAGCUGGUUGGUGAGGUAACGGCCCACCAAGGCGACGAUCAGUAGCCGGCCUGAGAGGGUGAACGGCCACAUUGGGACUGAGACACGGCCCAA
rnacentral:rRNA from 1 species